CCAAGCAAAACGCAAUUGUAGUUUGACACCCCGAAACUAGGUGAGCUACUUCAAAACAGCCUUUAAGGGCCAACCCGUCUCUGUUGCAAAAGAGUGGGAAGAUUUUCAAGUAGAGGUGAUAGACCUACCGAACCUAGAGAUAGCUGGUUAUUCAGGAAAAGGAUUUAAGUCCUACCUUAAGUUUUUUUGUACUACAAAAUAUGCCAACAAACUUAAGAGCUAUUCAAAUAAGGUACAGCCUAUUUGAAACAGGAAACAACCUUAAACACAGGGUAAUGAUACUAUAAACGUGACCAAGUGGGCCUAAAAGCAGCCAACUUUUAAACAGCGUUAAAGCUUCAUCACUUUAUUUAACUAAUAACCUCAAUAUUACAAAACCCUUUACCACUACUGAAUGACUCCAUAACUAUAUGGAGAACACUAUGCUAGAACUAGUAACAAGAAGAAGACCUCCUCCAAAAUGUAAGUGUAAGCCAAAAUGAACACCUCACUGGCACUUAUCGUAUCUGAACUUAAAGUAGUAACCCCACAAGAAAAUUCUACUCAUACAAGCGUUAACCUUACACCAGAACAUUACCGGAAAGAUUAAAAAAAGAGGAAGGAACUCGGC
rnacentral:rRNA from 1 species